rnacentral:pre_miRNA from 1 species
AGUGGAAUAGUUGGGUCAUACGGUGGUUUCAGUCCUAAUCUUUUAAGAAAUCUCCAUACUGCUUUCCAACGUGGUUGUACUAAUUUGCAGUCCCACCAAGAAU